rnacentral:lncRNA from 1 species
UUUGGUAAACACCACAGUAAUAAUUAUGUCAGGCAGAGAUAAUUAAUGGAUGUUAAAAUUGAUAGACAAAAGUAUAAUGAAAAACAGAAUAUUUACAUAGUUUCAAAGUAUCCCCUCAUAAGAUGCAUAUUAAUUUCAAAGGAAAGACAGUAACUUUAGAGCAGUGAAACCUGCCAGAUGCCAUCUUAACUCAGUGAUCAAAGUGCCUCAUUACCAAUGAUGAGACACAUCAACCACAUUCCUCCCGACAAGACACACCGAGAAGGGUACAAUGUCGCUUCUAUGAUAUUCUUGACAAAAUGUAUAACCUGAAUUAAAUCAUCGGGAAAUAUCAAACAUAAAUUGAAGAACAUUCUGCAAAAUAACUGGCCAGUACUCUUCAAAGAGUCAAAGUUAUGAAAGAGAAAAACUAAGGAAUUGUCUCUGAUUAAAGCAGACCAAGGAACCAUGAAAAUGAAAUGCAACUGGUGAGCUUGGACUGGAUCCUGAACAGAAAAAGUCCACUAAUGGGACAACUAACAAAAUCUGAAUAAGGUCUAUAGAUUACUUACUAAGUUCAUUUCCUGUUUAAAAAAUGGUACUAUAGUUAUAUAAUAUAACAUUUGUAGAAGCUAGGUAAAGAGUAUGUGAAAAUCCUUCAUAUUAGUUUUUGCAACUUUCUCAAUAAGUCUGAAAGCAUUUCAAAAGGACAAGUUGGGAAAAAUAAAAAUAAGUUUUAAAAACUAUGACAGCAAAACUCACUUAUUACAAUAUUGGUUUGUAAAGAGUGUGAAAAUACAUAUUAAUUACAAAAAUUAUAUUCAUGCUUGAAUUUAAAACUGGACAAGUAAACUUAUCCUAUGAUUAGUCAAAUGUAGGCUUAUUCAGGCAUUUCUUAAAAGCACACUCUAAAAUUUCAGCAUUUAUUUUAUUAUCAGAAGUUGAAGGUCAGUAUAACAAUUGUACAUGAAAAUAUUUCAGUAAUCCUGGUUUGCCCUUGCAAUAAUCUGAAGAGAUCUCUGCUGGGGACUAUUUCAUUAUGACAAUUGAGCACCAAAUACAGUGACCUUCAGAUUGUCAAUUCUUGGGUGAAAAUGGAUAGAAGGUUUUCUACUUGGCAGAUGAAAAAUCAAGACCCCCCCAAAUCCCUUUCCUUAGGAGGUAUAGCUUAGGUAAGGAACCUAUUAUUAUUAUUAUUAUUAUUUUUUUUGCUGUUUGCCCUAAAAUAUACCAAUAUACCACUUUAAAUAUAGUGAUUUCAUUUACCAGGGGAAGGAAAAAACUUGUAUAACCUAGAGGCAAUAUGUAGAAUAAAAACAAAAAAAAAAUGAUAGAAUAACUGGAGCCACAGGAAGCGGAACAUCUUAUAUGUCACAGAAUAUUAUAAAAUGUUACAGUUUAGUAGUUUCUUAUAUAAAUACUCAAGGAAAAACAACUGAAUAACUAGUAGCCUUAAUUUAGGGGUAGACCUAUAAUUACUACUUAUAACAGCCUCUGCCAAAUUAUUUAAAUAUUUACCUAAAAGUUAAAAUAUCCAGGCUAUAAGGUUUCCUGGCCUAUUGUUCUUUUCAUUUCAGACACAUUCCCAUUAUCAAACACCAGCUGAACAACAGCACACGAGCACAAGAGUUGUCAGAAAAUCAUCUAAGGCCAGUGUAAGAAGGAAUAGGUUUGAGGACUUUUUUCCCAAUCGGCAAGUGAGGUCCAGGUCUGGAAGUCCUGCUUUCCUUGGCCCUCAUAACUUGUGUUCCCUGGAUUCUGUGCUGAAUCUUCCUUCUUGACCUUUGCCGUCCCACUCCCCUUUCCAUCUUCUGUUUUUGUUUUCGAGACAGGAUCUCGCUAUCAUCCAGGCUGGAGUGCACUGGCACUAUCAUAGCUUGAACUCCUAGGCUCAACCAAGAUUCUCCCACUUCAACCUCCCAAGAAGCUGGGAUUACAAGCAUGAGCCAUCAUGCCUGUCCAUCUUAAUAGAUGGGC